rnacentral:rRNA from 1 species
UACGUAGGGGUCGAGCGUUGUCCGGAGUUACUGGGCGUAAAGCGCGUGCAGGUGGCUCAGUACGCCCGGCGUGAAAGCCCCCGGCUCAACCGGGGAGGGUCGUCGGGGACGGGUGAGCUUGAGGGUAGCAGGGGCUGGUAGAAUUCCCGGUGUAGUGGUGAAAUGCGUAGAGAUCGGGAGGAAUACCCGUGGCGAAGGCGGCCAGCUGGGCUACACCUGACGCUGAGGCGCGAGAGCGUGGGGAGCAAACGGG